GACAGAGGGGCAAGCGUUGCUCGGAAUUACUGGGCGUAAAGGGUGCGUAGGCGGCCCUGUAGUCAGUGCUGAAAUACCCCGGCUUAACCGGGGGGUGGCAUUGAUACUGCAGGGCUUGAGUACAGAUGAGGUAGGCGGAAUUGACGGUGUAGCGGUGAAAUGCAUAGAUAUCGAUCAAGAACACCGAUAGCGAAGGCAGCUUACUGGGCUGUAACUGACGGCUGAUGCACGAAAGUGUGGGAUCAAACAGG
rnacentral:rRNA from 1 species